AGAGAAUGUGUGCAGCCUGAGAGGGCGAGAGCCACCUGCCAGUUAGGUUUGAUGGUCUUCAUCUGUCCUUGUACGGCACACGGUGACGGCAGCAGCCUCCGACUGGGGUCGGAGCCAGUGGCCCGAGAACCUCUCAGCUCAGGGGACGCAACCGAGUCAGGGAUCACAGGACCCUCUGAGCCAGCCGGGCGUCCUUCCUUCACAUUGAAGAUGGAUUCACAUCCCCAGCUGUGGGAAAGAUAAGUGGAGGACUCCCACCUGGAGAGGGGAUGAGAGCUGGGUCCAGUUUUAUGUUUAGGAGGGAGGGAUUUUCAGAUGAGCACAGGAGAAAGGGUCUGCCCUAACAGGCCCUUGACACACAUAGGAGGAGCAGUUUACUUUUCAUCAUGGAGUAGGAUGUGCAGGGCAGAGCUGUUCAGGUCUGUGUCGUGUCCUUUGUCCAGUCUGUGUUUCGUGUCUUACUAUUCACAGUCACCACAUCUUUGCUUUCUGUCCUCAAAGUUCUUAUCUGAGGCAUCAU